AUGGGGAUCCCGUGCGCUCUCAGAUGGGGUGGAGGGUUAAGGAGAAAACUCCACGUCCAGCAAGCAGAACAAAGCGACUGCCGGAGCUCUCAAGAUGCACCCGGCUUGGGAGGCCCAACUGGUAUCCCGACACCUCACUCAGGCUGGUUUCGGGUUUGGGGAGCCAUCAAAACAAGAACGCUCGGCGGCUUCCGCCAGCGCGAGGAGGAGGGGACGACUCCGGGCACUGGGCAAGACCCAGAGGCACAGCCGCGAAGGCGGCGGCGGCAGGGCAGGCGGAAGAUAGCAUGCAGCCCGUGGCCGACCGAGGCCCGGUCGAGCCCGCUGGAGCUGCCCGCAGCCUGGCCUGCCUGCGCAGUAAUGGCCGGGGCCGCGCCCGUCACAGUCCGGGCUGCGCCAGCUCGGCCUCCCUCCGCGCGCCCGUCCGGGCCGCGCCGGCCAAGGGCGUCCCCGUCCUACCGGCCCCCGACCCGCCGCCGCCCGCCGCGGACUCCGAGCGCCGCCUCGCAGCCAACGAAGCCGCAGUGCCCCCGCCGAGGCCCGCAGCCCACGGCCCCCCGCGCUCCUCACCGGUCCGGCCCGGAGCCCACCUCUCGGCCGCCGCCGCAGCCACCUCGCAGUCUUUUCUCCUCCGCUUCGGAGCCCGCAGCGGACGGGGACGCGCGCGGCCGUCACGUGACCGCCCGGCGCUCAAGGGGCGGGGCCGCGCCGGCGGAAGCCACGCCCCCUCACCGUGAUCCCGCGCGCGGCGGCCCUGGCUGGCGGUCCCCACGCUGGCUGCUGCUCGUCUCUGUCCCCUGCUGCGACCGGGCUGCUCCUUGUCCCUGUUCCGGUCCUCCCUCACCCUCUGCGUGGCACAUCUUGUGGCCUCCUGGUUCUGAACCGGUGGAGGUCCAUCUAGGUGGCUCGUGGGAGGAAGCUAGACCUUCAGUACCAGGAAGAAGAGCCUUUCCAAAACUCAGCCUUGGGUCAAGUCCUAUGUUUCCUUUGGCCGUGCCCUUAGGGAGAGACUACCGCUUGUUCCUUAUACAAAAAAGGCACAAGAAAAGGCACGGCGUGGACUGGAUGGUCCCCGAGAUGCUCCAAUUUAUUCACCUCACAAAUGGCUAG
rnacentral:lncRNA from 1 species